AGUGCUCAGAAGGGAAAGACUCCGAUGGUUUGGACAUGUGAAGAGAGCAGGGGAGGACACAGUGCUGGGAGAGACUGGAGGUAGGAAACAGUGCUCAGAAGGGAAAGACUCCGAUGGUUUGGACAUGUAAAGAGAGCAGGGGAGGACACAGUGCUGGGAGAGACUGGAGGUAGGAAACAGUGCUCAGAAGGGAAAGACUCUGAUGGUUUGGACAUGUAAAGAGAGCAGGGGAGGACACAGUGCUGGGAGAGACUGGAGGUAGGAAACAGUGCUCAGAAGGGAAAGACUCUGAUGGUUUGGACAUGUAAAGAGAGCAGGGGAGGACACAGUGCUGGGAGAGACUGGAGGUAGGAAACAGUGCUCAGAAGGGAAAGACUCCGAUGGUUUGGACAUGUAAAGAGAGCAGGGGAGGACACAGUGCUGGGAGAGACUGGAGGUAGGAAACAGUGCUCAGAAGGGAAAGACUCCGAUGGUUUGGACAUGUAAAGAGAGCAGGGGAGGACACAGUGCUGGGAGAGAUUGGAGGUAGGAAACAGUGCUCAGAAGGGAAAGACUCCGAUGGUUUGGACAUGUAAAGAGAGCAGGGGAGGACACAGUGCUGGGAGAGACUGGAGGUAGGAAACAGUGCUCAGAAGGGAAAGACUCCGAUGGUUUGGACAUGUAAAGAGAGCAGGGGAGGACACAGUGCUGGGAGAGACUGGAGGUAGGAAACAGUGCUCAGAAGGGAAAGACUCCGAUGGUUUGGACAUGUGACAAGCCCCUCCUCCUCCUCCUCCUCCUCCUCCUCCUUAUCAUCAUCAUUUUAAUCGUCUCCCUUUUCUCUUCUUUCUAAAUUAUCACAAACAUUUCUCUUCCUCCUCCUCCUCCUCCUC